rnacentral:rRNA from 1 species
UACGUAGGGUGCGAGCGUUAAUCGGAAUUACUGGGCGUAAAGCGUGCGCAGGCGGUUCGUUGUGUCGGCGGUGAAAGCCCCGGGCUUAACCUGGGAAUGGCCGUUGAAACUGGCGAACUGGAGUGUGGCAGAGGGGGGUGGAAUUCCUGGUGUAGCGGUGGAAUGCGCAGAUAUCAGGAGGAACACCGGUGGCGAAGGCGGUUCUCUGGGCAUUACCUGACGCUGAGGAGCGAAAGUGUGGGGAGCGAACAGG